rnacentral:rRNA from 1 species
GAGUUUGAUCGUGGCUCAGAACGAACGCUGGCGGCAUGCCUAACACAUGCAAGUCGAACGAAGGCUUCGGCCUUAGUGGCGCACGGGUGCGUAACGCGUGGGAACCUGCCCCUCGGUUCGGAAUAACACAGAGAAAUUUGUGCUAAUACCGGAUGAUGACUUCGGUCCAAAGAUUUAUCGCCGAGGGAUGGGCCCGCGUAGGAUUAGCUUGUUGGUGGGGUAAUGGCCUACCAAGGCGACGAUCCUUAGCUGGUCUGAGAGGAUGAUCAGCCACACUGGGACUGAGACACGGCCCAGACUCCUACGGGAGGCAGCAGUGGAGAAUAUUGGACAAUGGGCGAAAGCCUGAUCCAGCAAUGCCGCGUGAGUGAUGGAGGCCUUAGGGUUGUAAAGCUCUUUUACCCGGGAUGAUAAUGACAGUACCGGGAGAAUAAGCUCCGGCUAACUCCGUGCCAGCAGCCGCUGUAAG